GAAACACCCUUAUGGGGCAGGACUUGCUUCAAUGGGGCUCUGGUGCUCACUGAGUCUGUCCCUUGAGUGUGUUGCU
rfam:Myotis lucifugus cont2.17049, whole genome shotgun sequence.